UACAGAGGUCCCAAGCGUUGUUCGGAUUCAUUGGGCGUAAAGGGUGCGUAGGCGGCGCGGUAAGUCGGGUGUGAAAUCUCGGAGCUUAACUCCGAAACUGCAUUCGAUACUGCCGUGCUAGAGGACUGGAGAGGAGACUGGAAUUUACGGUGUAGCGGUGAAAUGCGUAGAUAUCGUAAGGAAGACCAGUGGCGAAGGCGGGUCUCUGGACAGUUCCUGACGCUGAGGCACGAAGGCCAGGGGAGCAAACGGG
rnacentral:rRNA from 1 species